rnacentral:tRNA from 1 species
GUUUUAAUAAUUUAAUAAAAAUAUUAGUCUUGUAAACUAAAAUUAGGAAUACAACCUUUAAAACU